rnacentral:rRNA from 1 species
GACGAACGCUGGCGGCGUGCUUAACACAUGCAAGUCGAGCGGAGCGGCGAACGGGUGAGUAACGCGUGAGUAACUGCCCCCCUCUCUGGGAUAACAGUUGGAAACGGCUGCUAAUACCGGAUAGUGGGGGCUGACUCGGGUCCUAUCAGCUUGUUGGUGGGGUAGGGGCCGACCAAGUCGACGACGGGUAGCCGGCCUGAGAGGGCGACCGGCCACAAGGGGCUGGGAGAGGGUCCAAACGGUGACGGGGGGCAGCGGUGGAGAAUAGUGCGCAACGGGGGGAAGCCUGAUGCAGCGACGCCGCGUGCGGGAUGCCGGCCUUCGGGUUGUAAACCGCGUUCAGCCAUGACGCGGUAGUGGCAGAAGAAGCACCGGCUAACUACGUGCCAGCAGCCGCGGUAAUUC